GAUGAACGCUGGCGGCGUGCCUAAUACAUGCAAGUCGAGCGAACAGACGAGGAGCUUGCUCCUCUGACGUUAGCGGCGGACGGGUGAGUAACACGUGGAUAACCUACCUAUAAGACUGGGAUAACUUCGGGAAACCGGAGCUAAUACCGGAUAAUAUAUUGAACCGCAUGGUUCAAUAGUGAAAGACGGUUUUGCUGUCACUUAUAGAUGGAUCCGCGCCGCAUUAGCUAGUUGGUAAGGUAACGGCUUACCAAGGCAACGAUGCGUAGCCGACCUGAGAGGGUGAUCGGCCACACUGGAACUGAGACACGGUCCAGACUCCUACGGGAGGCAGCAGUAGGGAAUCUUCCGCAAUGGGAGAAAGCCUGACGGAGCAACGCCGCGUGAGUGAUGAAGGUCUUCGGAUCGUAAAACUCUGUUAUUGGGGAAGAACAAAUGUGUAAGUAACUAUGCACGUCUUGACGGUACCUAAUCAGAAAGCCACGGCUAACUACGUG
rnacentral:rRNA from 1 species